CCUACGGGGGGCAGCAGUGGGGAAUAUUGGACAAUGGGGGGAACCCUGAUCCAGCCAUGCCGCGUGUGUGAAGAAGGCCCUCGGGUUGUAAAGCACUUUCAGUGAGGAAGAACGCCUGGUGGUUAAUACCCAUCAGGAAAGACAUCACUCACAGAAGAAGCACCGGCUAACUCCGUGCCAGCAGCCGCGGUAAUACGGAGGGUGCGAGCAUUAAUCGGAAUUACUGGGCGUAAAGCGCGCGUAGGUGGCUUGAUAAGCCGGUUGUGAAAGCCCCGGGCUCAACCUGGGAACGGCAUCCGGAACUGUCAAGCUAGAGUGCAGGAGAGGAAGGUAGAAUUCCCGGUGUAGCGGUGAAAUGCGUAGAGAUCGGGAGGAAUACCAGUGGCGAAGGCGGCCUUCUGGACUGACACUGACACUGAGGUGCGAAAGCGUGGGUAGCAAACAGGAUUAGAUACCCUGGUAGUC
rnacentral:rRNA from 1 species